rnacentral:rRNA from 1 species
UGGCUCAGAUUGAACGCUGGCGGCAUGCCUAACACAUGCAAGUCGAACGGCAGCGCGGAGAAGCUUCGGCUUCUCUGGCGGCGAGUGGCGGACGGGUGAGUAAUGCAUGGGAAUCUGCCCUUUGGUGGGGGAUAACCCGGAGAAAUCCGGGCUAAUACCGCAUACGCCCUACGGGGGAAAGCGGGGGACCUUCGGGCCUCGCGCCGAUGGAUGAGCCCAUGUCCGAUUAGCUAGUUGGUGGGGUAAAGGCCUACCAAGGCGACGAUCGGUAGCUGGUCUGAGAGGAUGAUCAGCCACACUGGGACUGAGACACGGCCCAGACUCCUACGGGAGGCAGCAGUGGGGAAUAUUGGACAAUGGGCGCAAGCCUGAUCCAGCAAUGCCGCGUGGGUGAAGAAGGCCUGCGGGUUGUAAAGCCCUUUCGUCCGGGAAGAAAAGCCCAAGGCUAAUACCCU